GACGAACGCUGGCGGCGUGCCUAAUACAUGCAAGUCGAGCGAACCAAUAAGAAGCUUGCUUUUUGUUUGUUAGCGGCGGACGUGUGAGUAACACGUGGGUAACCUGCCUGUAAGACCGGUAUAACUCCGGGAAACCGGUGCUAAUACCGGAUAGAUUAUCUUUCCGCAUGGAGAGAUAAGGAAAGAUUGCUGUUGCCAUCACUUACAGAUGGGCCCGCGGCGCAUUAGCUAUUUGGUGAGAUAACGGCUCACCCAGGCGACGAGGCGUAGCCGAACUGCGCGGGUGAUCGGCCACACUGGGACUGAGCCACCGACCCGACGACUAAGGGAGGCAGCAGUAGGGAAUGUUCCGCAAUGGACGAAAGUCUGACGGAGCAACGCAGCGUGAGAGAAGAAGGUCUUCGGAUCGUAACGCUCUGUUGUUAGGGAAGAACAAGUAUCGGAGGAAAUGCAGGUAAAUUGACGGUACCUGCAGAGAAAGCCACGGCUAACUACGUG
rnacentral:rRNA from 1 species